GACCAUGUGGCAUAGUGGUUUGAGUACUGGACUAUGACUCAGGAGACCAGGAUUCAAUUCCCAGCUCAGCCA